CCGUUAACCACCGUUGAAUGAACUCCACCGGAAGACACACCGACGCGAUUGUUUCUCUGAGAUCUGCUAGACAACUAUUUGUUAAGAUGUGGAAAGCGUUGCUGGACAGGGCUGUGUGUCUGCAGCAGGACAUCCAUCACUUCACUAAGCUCUAUGAUCAAAUCAUGCUGUUUGUGCUCCUGAUGAACACCACAACACAAGUGGCAAUGACAUUUCAAGGUCUCGCACCAGCUUGGGUUUAUGAAGCACUGGAGGCAGUCUACUUGGCUUUUUAUACGAUGGAGUGUGUGUUAAAGCUCAUAAGUUUUGGCUUAAAAUACUUCAAAAGCAUGUGGAAUAUUCUGGAUUUCUCGGUCACUUUGGUAGGGUUGGUAGACCUUUUUCUGGACAGCAAACAGUAUGAUAGUGAGCGUUUCACCACUUUUUUCCACCUCCUUAAAAUGUUCAAAGUAUGUCGAGCGUUCAGGAUCUUACGCACACUGCGGUUUUUCAGUGGUCCCAAGGUCGUCAUGAAAGUAAUAGGAAAGUCUUUGAAGAUGAAUGGAAUCAUCUUCGUGCUCAUGUUUUGCAUCUUUGUCAUGUUUUCCAUUCUUUUCCGACAAAACUUAAGCAAGUCCGACCCAAAGCGAUUUGGUUCCAUGCUCAGUACCAUGUCUACACUCCUCCAGCUGUUGACACUUGAUGACUGGAUUAACGUCUAUUACACCAGUCGAGACAAUGGUGCACCUGAUGUUAUCAUCUUCAUCGUCUUGUACAUCUUGACUGAAUACUACAUCCUUUUAAGUCUGAUCUAUGCAGUGACGGUGGACACCAUCCUCAGCAACAGAAAGAACAUGGUUGGGGAACAGCCAUCACCGAUCCAGACGACAGAGCAAAUCAAGAGUGAGCCGACUGACGACCAGACAACCAAGGUUGCUUUCUCAGAAAACUAUUUUAUUGAAGGGAAGAACAUUCGGAUGGAACACUGUUUGAGGAUCCUGGAAGCUCUGGAGAAGAAUCAGCAGUUGUUUCGGAAACAAACCAAUUACCUUUACAGGCUGAUUGACAGCACUGAAAUGGGACCUUCCUUUUACCGUAGAAAGGAAGCAGAUGAGGAUGAACUCGAGGACAGCCAUUGAGAAGAUGGAAAUGCUGUCAAUGGAGAGUGAUGAGCGUGUUUAGCGUGUUUCCUGCUCUACAUCAGUAUGUGGGAAGCAUUGAUUUCAAUUGUUUGCUGUAAACUAACAGGGUGAGUAACAAAGAAGCACUUCCAGGGACAGGACAGGGUACUCUGGUCCCAGGGCAGCUGAUACAGGAGCACUGGAACAACAUCUUAUGUGGUGACCUGCAGGAAGAAAAA